AGCAAGAUGAUGAAGUUCUUUAAUCUGAAUGUGGCUGUUGAAUUUGAUCUUAUUAGCCUUCAAAGUUCUCUGAUUGCU